AAAACGGAAAAUUUCCGUAGAAAAUCCAACAUAGAAGCAACGUGAGGUUUCAUAUCGUCCCUAUUAAAAGCAUCGUUAGAAAUAAAUACGCCGCGCCAGUCUACAUCUUGUAAUUCCUCGGUAAUCCGUGCACUCAUAGCAUCGUCGAUUAGGCGAGUGUCUAAAACCUUUAUCGCUUUAUCGGAGUGUGCGACAAAAUCAUUGGAUGCCAUAGGCAACUCAGUAAAAGUAACGUCAAUUGACAUAGCAUUAUGAUGCACUUCUGUCUUGAUCAGCGGAUCACUCACCUCAAUACGACAGCACUCAUCGUCUGUUGUAAACAACAAAUCGAGAAAUCUGUUGUUUUGAUUCGGGAUACCGCAAAUUUGGAAAAAGCCACAAGCAGCCAUCGAAUCAACGAACAGUUCUUCUUCUGGCUGGCGUACUUGAUAAGGUGACGAUGAAUCUACAAUAUUGCGGAUGCUUUCUACGUAUGAUGCAUAGCGACCAAAAUGCGAAUCAGGAGGACGAUUCGAAAAUAACGUUACUAUAAAACUUCUGAUUAACAGCAAUCAGUACACCACCGCCGCUGGUUUUAUCAGAAUUCGAUGAGGAUCUAUCGCAACGAAAGCAUAAACAUCGAAAUCACGCUCCAGUGCGGACAUGAAGACAGCUUCGAGCCGGCUACUGCUUCGGAU